UACUGAGGUAAUGUGGGGGUGUUCUGGGCAAUAAAUGACUGGUUAUUGUGUCCCGUUUUUGUUAGGUGAGGCAGGAUUCACCACCAGAGUGAUUAAACCAGAGCCUCGGGUCAUAGAAGGACCAGAUUUCUCAAAGAUCAUGCUCAUCGAUGCAGAAUCGGAGAAGAUCAGCAAGCUUAUCAAACAGGGUGGGGCUAAGAGACGAGCAGCUGUCAGGAGAUCACCAGGUAAGAACAGUUGGGGGGGGGGGGGGGGUAAAGCAAAAUU
ensembl:lncRNA